rnacentral:lncRNA from 1 species
UGAGUGGUUUGAUCUCACUUUUUGUUAUGACCUUGGAUAAUAUACGAUGAAGAGUUGGAAUAUUUAAGUCUGUGACAGGAUCAGAAGGGGUUGAAUAAUUUUUUUUUGUCAGCUGUUUUGAAUAAUCUUGUCCACUGUAACCACAAUUUAAAAUCACUAGAUCCCUUCUCCGCGCUACGCGCGGAUAAUAUAUUUAAAUUUGUUACAUUUAUC